AAAAAAUAUAAAGACUCAUCCUUCUGGAUGAGUAUUUCAAUGAAUUGAAUAUAAAUUAUUCUUCGAGGUAGCAAGGAGAGGGCAAGUCUGGUGCCAGCAGCCGCCGGUAAUUCCAGCUCUCCUAGUGUAUCUCGUUAUGCUGCGGGUUAAAAAGCUCGUAGUUGGAUCUAGGUUACGUGCCGCAGUUCGCAAUUUGCGUUAACUGUGGUCGUGACUUCUAAUUUGCUGGUUUGAGGUUGGGUUCGCCCUUCAACUCCCAGCAGGUUUACCUUGAAUAAAUCAGAGUGCUCAAUACAGGCGCUUGCUUGAAUAGCUCAUCAUGGAAUAAUGAAACAGGACUUCGGUUCUUUUUGUUGGUUCUAGAAUUGAUCUAAUGGUUAAGAGGGACAAACCGGGGGCAUUCGUAUCAUUACGCGAGAGGUGAAAUUCGUGGACCGUAGUGAGACACCCAAUAGCGAAAGCAUUUGCCAAGAAUGUCUUCAUUAAUCAAGAACGAAAGUCAGAGGUUCGAAGGCGAUUAGAUACCGCCCUAGUUCUGACCGUAAACGAUGCCAUCUCGCGAUUCGGAGGGUUCAUGCCCUACCGAGGAGCUACCCGGAAACGAAAGUCUUUCGGUUCCGGGGGUAGUAUGGUUGCAAAGCUGAAACUUAAAGAAAUUGACGGAAGGGCACCACAAGGCGUGGAGCUUGCGGCUUAAUUUGACUCAACACGGGAAAACUCACCCGGUCCGGACACUAUUAGGACUGACAGAUUGAAAGCUCUUUCUCGAUUUGGUGGUUGGUGGUGCAUGGCCGUUCUUAGUUGGUGGAGUGAUUUGUCUGGUUUAUUCCGAUAACGAGCGAGACUCUAGCCUGCUAAAUAGUCGACGAAUCUUCGGGUUCGUAUAACUUCUUAGAGGGAUAAGCGGUGUUUAGCCGCACGAGAUUGAGCGAUAACAGGUCUGUGAUGCCCUUAGAUGUCCGGGGCUGCACGCGUGCUACACUGGUGGAGUCAGCGGGUUUUUCCUAUGCCGAAAGGUAUCGGUAAACCGUUGAACUUCUUCCAUGUCCGGGAUAGGGUAUUGUAAUUAUUACCCUUAAACGAGGAAUGCCUAGUAAGUGUGAGUCAUCAGCUCACGUUGAUUACGUCCCUGCCCUUUGUACACACCGCCCGUCGCUAUCCGGGACUGAACUGAUUCGAGAAGAGUGGGGACUGUGGCUGCGAGGUUUUACCACUUCGCAGUUGCGAAACCAUUUUUAUCGCAUUGGUUUGAACCGGG
rfam:Caenorhabditis japonica strain DF5081 Contig9423.1, whole genome shotgun sequence.